UACGAGGGGGGCGAGCGUUGUUCGGAAUUAUUGGGCGUAAAGGGUGCGUAGGCGGUUUGGUAAGUCUUGUGUGAAAUCUCCAGGCUCAACUUGGAGUCUGCACGAGAAACUGCCGGGCUUGAGUGUGGGAGAGGUGAGUGGAAUUCCUGGUGUAGAGGUGAAAUUCGUAGAUAUUGGGAAGAACACCGGUGGCGAAGGCGGCGACCUGGUCCGAUACUGACGCUGAGGCGCGAAAGCGUGGGGAGCAAACAGG
rnacentral:rRNA from 1 species